UUCACCGAUUUUUGUUGCUCGAUUUUAAUCGGAGUAUCGGACAACAUCAAAACGUUUUGAUAUUAUACGAUUUUUAUCGGUGGAAUUGUAAGUAUAAACAUUUGUGGGUAUACGACAGCACAGAAAUAGAAAGGCGCAACAGUUUCAAAGAAAACUGGGACCAAUUUUUGUGAUUUCCAAACCCCCCUUCCUGGCCUAAUGUGACCCCUGUCAGGCCCUGUGUACAUGCAGGGUUUCUUUGCCCGCAACAGAACACCUAACACCUCAGGCCUGCAUAAUAUAGCGGACCGCGGGACCAUUGGUCCCAGAAAAUUUUUGAGGUUGGCAGAAAAAAAUGGAGGGUAAAACUUAAAAGUCUCAAAAGAAAAAAAGUAAAGAGAAAGAAAGAAAGGAAGAAAAUAAGAAAAAAUGACAUAAUUGAAUAAUAAGCUGUAGGUAGUGAACUAGUGAUGUUUGCAACAUGCAAGUAAUACAAGUUUCCAAUAUACUGGUACAGGAGGCUCUCCAGCAGCCUGAUACUAUGGUCAAAGACAGGCAGACAGCAGUCUAGCAGAUAUUAAGAUGAAAUCCUCUAUGCGGUUAUAAUUGAUUUCAUCUAGUGUAUUAGCUACUUUUGAAAAUACCACUCCAGUUAUAUAUGAAUACCACUCAUUUAACAACUACAGUAUGUGGAUUAAAAAGUCUAUAUGAGUGUGGUGAUUUCUUACAAUGUAGUAAAAAAUCUAAGCAAUAUGGUCCAAUACACAACAGCCUUCCGCCCUUCUCAUGAACUUUCAUCCAUUAAAUUAAGAUGAUAUUCAUAACAAAUAUAUUAAAAUUAUAAGAAUCUAGAAUCUUAAACUGCAGACAGUUCCCAUUG